AGUAGUAAGGGGGUGAGGCAAGGAGAUUCCAUAUCUCCCUUUCUCUUUAAUCUAGCGGCUGAAUGCCUUUCGAAAAUGAUUUUCAAUGCCCAGAAAAAUAAUUUGUUUAAAGGGCUGGCAGCAGACCUCAUUCCAAAUGGAGUUGCUGUCUUGCAGUACGCAGAUGAUACUGUUCUUUGCAUUGAGAAUGAUAUAGAUAAAGCUGUUAAUCUCAAACUUCUGCUAUACUUGUUUGAACUUAUGUCUGGCUUGAAAAUCAAUUUUCUUAAAAGUGAAGUGCUGUGUGUGUGUGUCAAAUAG
rnacentral:rRNA from 1 species